UACGGAGGGAGCUAGCGUUGUUCGGAAUUACUGGGCGUAAAGCGCACGUAGGCGGCUUUGUAAGUUAGAGGUGAAAGCCCGGAGCUCAACUCCGGAACUGCCUUUAAGACUGCAUCGCUUGAAUCCAGGAGAGGUGAGUGGAAUUCCGAGUGUAGAGGUGAAAUUCGUAGAUAUUGGGAGGAACACCAGUGGCGAAGGCGGCUCACUGGACCGGAACUGACGCUGAGGCGCGAAAGCGUGGGGAGCAAACAGG
rnacentral:rRNA from 1 species